CGGAGGGUCAUUAUAGAGUUUUCUAAACUCCCAACCCAUGUGAACUUACCUUUUGUUGCCUCGGCAGAAGUUAUAGGUCUUCUUAUAGCUGCUGCCGGUGGACCAUUAAACUCUUGUUAUUUUAUGUAAUCUGAGCGUCUUAUUUUAAUAAGUCAAAACUUUCAACAACGGAUCUCUUGGUUCUGGCAUCGAUGAAGAACGCAGCGAAAUGCGAUAAGUAAUGUGAAUUGCAGAAUUCAGUGAAUCAUCGAAUCUUUGAACGCACAUUGCGCCCAUUAGUAUUCUAGUGGGCAUGCCUGUUCGAGCGUCAUUUCAACCCUUAAGCCUAGCUUAGUGUUGGGAAUCUACUUCUCUUAGGAGUUGUAGUUCCUGAAAUACAACGGCGGAUUUGUAGUAUCCUCUGAGCGUAGUAAUUUUUUUCUCGCUUUUGUUAGGUGCUAUAACUCCCAGCCGCUAAACCCCCAAUUUUUUGUGGUUGACCUCGGAUCAGGUAGGAAUACCCGCUGAACUUAAGCAUAUCAAUAAGCGGAGGAAAAGAAACCAACAGGGAUUGCCUUAGUAACGGCGAGUGAAGCGGCAACAGCUCAAAUUUGAAAUCUGGCCCUUGGGUCCGAAUUGUAAUUUGUAGAGGAUGAUUUUGGUGCGGUAUCUUCCGAGUUCCUUGGAACAGGACGCCUUAGAGGGUGAGAGCCCCGUACGGUUGAAUGCCUAGCCUCUGUAAAUCUCCUUCGACGAGUCGAGUAGUUUGGGAAUGCUGCUCUAAAUGGGAGGUAAAUUUCUUCUAAAGCUAAAUAUUGGCCAGAGACCGAUAGCGCACAAGUAGAGUGAUCGAAAGAUGAAAAGCACUUUGAAAAGAGGGUUAAAUAGCACGUGAAAUUGUUGAAAGGGAAGGAUUUGUGACCAGACUUUUUCUGGGCGGAUCAUCCGGGGUUCUCUCCGGUGCACUUCGCCCAGUAAAGGCCAGCAUCGGUUUUCGGCGUGGGAUAAAAGCAGUAGGAAUGUGGCUCUCUACGGGGAGUGUUAUAGCCUAUUGUAUAAUACCGCGCUGGGGACCGAGGUUCGCGCUUCUGCAAG
rnacentral:rRNA from 1 species